CGACGCCGCGUGACUGAUGAAGCCUUUCGGGGUGUAAAGGUCUUUCAGUGGGGACGAAUCAUGAUGGUACCCACAGAAGCAGCUGCGGCUAACUACGUGCCAGCAGCCGCGGUAAUACGUAGGCAGCAAGCGUUGUUCGGAAUUACUGGGCGUAAAGCGAGUGUAGGCGGUUUGCCGUGUCUGCUGUGAAAUCUCCCGGCUCAACUGGGAGGGUGCGGCGGAAACUGGCAGGCUAGAGUGCGGAAGAGGAAAGUGGAAUUCCUGGUGUAGCGGUGAAAUGCGUAGAUAUCAGGAGGAACACCUGUGGUGAAGACGGCUUUCUGGACCGCCACUGACGCUGAGACUCGAAAGCGUGGGGAGCAAACAGGAUUAGAUACCCUGGUAGUCCACGCCCUAAACGAUGCAUACUUGGUGUGGGUUCUUCACUGGAUCCGUGCCGGAGCUAACGCGUUAAGUAUGCCGCCUGGGGAGUACGGUCGCAAGGCUG
rnacentral:rRNA from 1 species